GAUGAACGCUAGCGGCAGGCUUAAUACAUGCAAGUCAAGGGGGUAGCAAUACAACCGGCGCACGGGUGAGUAACGCGUACACAACAUACCAUAUACUGGAGUAUAGCUUUGGGAAACUGAAGGUAAUCCUCCAUAACAUUGCGAGAGGGCAUCUGAUUGCAAUUAAAGUUUCGGCGGUAUAUGAUUGGUGUGCGUUUGAUUAGCUAGUUGGUAGGGUAACGGCCUACCAAGGCGACGAUCAAUAGCUGGCGUGAGAGCACGACCAGCCACACUGGAACUGAGACACGGUCCAGACUCCUACGGGAGGCAGCAGUAGGGAAUAUUGGACAAUGGAGGAAACUCUGAUCCAGCCAUGCCGCGUGAUAGAUGAAGGCCCUCUGGGUUGUAAAUAUCUUUUAUCUGGGAAGAAACACUCCUAUUCUUAGGAACUUGACGGUACCAGAGGAAUAAGCACCGGCUAACUCCGUGCCAGCAGCCGCGGUAAAGUA
rnacentral:rRNA from 1 species